rnacentral:rRNA from 1 species
UGGGGAAUCUUAGACAAUGGGGGCAACCCUGAUCUAGCCAUGCCGCGUGAGUGAAGAAGGCCUUAGGGUUGUAAAGCUCUUUCACCUGUGAGGAUGAUGACAGUAGCAGGAUAAGAAGGACCGGCUAACUCCGUGCCAGCAGCCGCGGUAAGACGGAGGGUCCUAGCGUUGUUCGGAAUGACUGGGCGUAAAGGGUACGUAGGCGGUUUGGUCAGUUAGAUGUGAAAGCCCAGGGCUUAACCUUGGAAUUGCAUUUAAUACUGCCAGACUUGAGAUCGGAAGAGGAAAGCGGAAUUUCUAGUGUAGAGGUGAAAUUCGUAGAUAUUAGAAGGAACAUCAGAGGCGAAGGCGGCUUUCUGGUCCGAUACUGACGCUGAGGUACGAAAGCGUGGGGAGCAAACAGGAUUAGAUACCCCCGUAGUCC